AGCAGCCGCGGUAAUUCCAGCUCCAAUAGCGUAUAUUAAAGUUGUUGCAGUUAAAAAGCUCGUAGUUGAAUUUCGGGAUCAAGGCGUCGGUCGUGCUUCGGUACGUACUGGCGUCAUUGAUUUCUCCCUUCUGACGAACCAUGAUGCCAUUAACUUGGUGUUACGGGAAAUCAGGACUGUUACUUUGAAAAAAUUAGAGUGUUUAAAGCAGGCUCACGCUUGAAUACAUUAGCAUGGAAUAAUGAAAUAGGACGUUCGAUCCUAUUUUGUUGGUUUUUAGGAUCAACGUAAUGAUUAAUAGGGAUAGUUGGGGGCAUUAGUAUUCAAUUGUCAGAGGUGAAAUUCUUGGAUUUAUUGAAGACUAACUACUGCGAAAGCAUUUGCCAAGGAUGUUUUCAUUAAUCAAGAACGAAAGUUAGGGGAUCGAAGACGAUCAGAUACCGUCGUAGUCUUAACCAUAAACUAUGCCGACUAGGGAUCGGAUGAUGUUAAUAUUUUAAUGACUCAUUCGUCGCCUUAA
rnacentral:rRNA from 1 species